rnacentral:rRNA from 1 species
AGGGUUUGAUCAUGGCUCAGAUUGAACGCUGGCGGUAUGCUUAACACAUGCAAGUCGAACGGAAACGAAACUAGCUUGCUAGUAGGCGUCGAGUGGCGGACGGGUGAGUAACGCGUAGGAAUCUGCCUGAUAGUGGGGGAUAGCCCGAAGAAAUUCGGAUUAAUACCGCAUAAUCUAUUCGUAGUAAAGUGGGGGACUUUCGAGCCUCACGCUAUCAGAUGAGCCUGCGUAAGAUUAGCUUGUUGGUAGGGUAAAAGCCUACCAAGGCAACGAUCUUUAGCUGGUCUGAGAGGAUGAUCAGCCACAUCGGGACUGAGACACGGCCCGAACUCCUACGGGAGGCAGCAGUGGGGAAUAUUGGACAAUGGGGGCAACCCUGAUCCAGCAAUACCGCGUGUGUGAAGAAGGCCUGAGGGUUGUAAAGCACUUUCAAUUGUGAAGAAAAGUUAACGGUUAGUAACCGUUGACCUUGACGUUAACUUUAGAAGAAGCACCGGCUAACUCCGUGCCAGCAGCCGCGGUAAUACGGAGGGUGCAAGCGUUAAUCGGAAUUACUGGGCGUAAAGCGUGCGUAGGCGGUUUAUUAAGUCAGAUGUGAAAGCCCCGGGCUUAACCUGGGAACUGCAUUUGAAACUGGUCAACUAGAGUAUGG